UACGGGGGGGCAAGCGUUGUUCGGAAUUACUGGGCGUAAAGGGCUCGUAGGCGGCCAACUAAGUCGGACGUGAAAUCCCUCGGCUUAACCGGGGAACUGCGUCCGAUACUGGAUGGCUUGAGUGUGGGAGAGGGAUGCGGAAUUCCAGGUGUAGCGGUGAAAUGCGUAGAUAUCGGGAGGAACACCAGUGGCGAAGGCGACUUUCUGGCCUGUUCUUGACGCUGAGGCGCGAAAGCUAGGGGAGCAAACGGG
rnacentral:rRNA from 1 species